rnacentral:rRNA from 1 species
GAAGCCUUUGGGUGUAACCGCUUUUUGGGGUAUGAUACGCUCCCGUAAGGGGCUAAGACAGUACCCCAAGAAUAAGCAUCGGCUAACUACGUGC